GAGGACCAAAGUUACUGAGGAAAAAAUGCGGAUCACCAAGACAUAGGAGAAGUGUAACUAACGGAUAGCCAACAGCAAUAUGUUUGCUUUGCUUGUCCAUCCAAUGCAUGAGCUGAACCCUUAUUCGUGCCACAGCUUCAUACCAUAAAGUUAGUGCAGGAUCUAUGAAUGAAGGAGGCCAUUGACCUUUUCCACUAUCUGCAAGAGGUGCUAAGAUGUUCGAUAGCAUAUUGCAUAAGGCAUGAUGAAGUUCGCUUUUUCGUUUAUGUGGAGCACGAUUAAGUGGGUUAGCUUUAGCCACAAAGGAAGCUGAAGCAUUC
rnacentral:misc_RNA from 1 species